rnacentral:snoRNA from 2 species
AGAGCAUGAUGUGGGCAUUUCCUUAAUAGCUCCUUGAACUUUUCCCAUGUAUCGUACAAGGAUUCCCCGACGUCUUGAGAGUAGGAGUUAAUCUAGGUCAUGAGUUU